UACCCAACGCACGCCCUGCCCCUCCUCCCUCCCGCAAUCCCUAGCCUCGCAUCUCCGCGGUCAUAUUCCCCACCUCUCUCUGCCCCGAUCGAUGGUGCCUCUGUGUGGCGGCGGCGUCAAGCGUCGGCAGCUUCACCUGGAUCUCCUCGAGCCAGGGCCCUCCGCGCGCCAGCACCUUCCCCAUCGUGCGUGAUCUGUCUGCUCCGACACACGGUGAGCGCGCUGCCGCCGCCUUGUCGCCGAUGUCCUGAUCCAUCGGCGACAACGGCGGCUCCUUCUGGCCGGAUCAAGCCGCGGAGACCCGUGGGAUCCCCUCCUUCGGCAGUACCUCCUCAUCUGAUUGCAUUCUUCCACGGACAGAGAGUGGAACACCACCUUCAGUUUCUCAUCUGAUCCCACUUAUGGACUCCAUGAAUGAAGCCUGAUGUGUAUCCAACGACAUGGGAGAUUAAAGAUUUGCAUGAGACUGACGAUUGUGAUUUUGGCCCUGUACUGAAUAAUUUUGGCAGCGACUGGGUGAUGAUGAUUACAAGCCAGAACUAUGCAGGAGGACUGCAUGUGAUGAGUCAAGGCACAAGAACUACGACCAUUUUAGCUCCAGCACCACAUAAUCUCAUGCAUUCAAAUUGCUAGCUACACGAAAUACGCCCAGAUCUACGAGUAGGAAUCCAAGAUUCCUCAUGUAUGUUCAAUUUCCAGAAUAGGAAGAACCAUACCAACAGCAUACAUACAUAUUACAGUUCUGCAUUUCAAAUUUGAAGACCAAGGCAAAGCCCGAUCGAUGCAAUUGGAGGCAUUGCAGUCCAAUUGUUCUAGGGAUUGAAACCAGACGUGUGACUGAAUACUGCUUGGAACAUGUGAUUCUGCAAAGUUGAGGAAGUAUGGACUCAGAUCCUUUAAGGGUUUGUUCCCAUACUGUGGGGCAGCAGGAUCUGAGUCCCACUAUGAGGGAUCAGCCUUCAGAGAUCAGCUACCGGCGUCAUACUGCCCC